CGGAGGUGCAAGCGUUAUCCGGAUUCACUGGGUUUAAAGGGUGCGUAGGAGGGCAGGUAAGUCAGUGGUGAAAUCUCUGGGCUCAACCCGGAAACUGCCGUUGAUACUAUCUGUCUUGAAUACUGUGGAGGUGAGCGGAAUAUGUCAUGUAGCGGUGAAAUGCUUAGAUAUGACAUAGAACACCAAUUGCGAAGGCAGCUCACUACACAUAUAUUGACUCUGAGGCACGAAAGCGUGGGGAUCAAACAGGAUU
rnacentral:rRNA from 1 species